AACGCUAGCUACAGGCUUAACACAUGCAAGUCGAGGGGCAGCAUGGUCUUAGCUUGCUAAGGCCGAUGGCGACCGGCGCACGGGUGAGUAACACGUAUCCAACCUGCCGUCUACUCUUGGACAGCCUUCUGAAAGGAAGAUUAAUACAAGAUGGCAUCAUGAGUCCGCAUGUUCACAUGAUUAAAGGUAUUCCGGUAGACGAUGGGGAUGCGUUCCAUUAGAUAGUAGGCGGGGUAACGGCCCACCUAGUCUUCGAUGGAUAGGGGUUCUGAGAGGAAGGUCCCCCACAUUGGAACUGAGACACGGUCCAAACUCCUACGGGAGGCAGCAGUGAGGAAUAUUGGUCAAUGGGCGAGAGCCUGAACCAGCCAAGUAGCGUGAAGGAUGACUGCCCUAUGGGUUGUAAACUUCUUUUAUAAAGGAAUAAAGUCGGGUAUGGAUACCCGUUUGCAUGUACUUUAUGAAUAAGGAUCGGCUAACUCCGUGCCAGCAGCCGCGGUAAUACGGAGGAUCCGAGCGUUAUCCGGAUUUAUUGGGUUUAAAGGGAGCGUAGAUGGAUGUUUAAGUCAGUUGUGAAAGUUUGCGGCUCAACCGUAAAAUUGCAGUUGAUACUGGAUAUCUUGAGUGCAGUUGAGGCAGGCGGAAUUCGUGGUGCAGCGGUGAAAUGCUUAGAUAUCACGAAGAACUCCGAUUG
rnacentral:rRNA from 1 species